CUCAGGAUGAACGCUAGCGGCAGGCUUAACACAUGCAAGUCGAGGGGGUAUUGGUUUUCGGACCAAGAGACCGGCGCACGGGUGCGUAACGCGUAUGCAAUCUACCUUUUGCAGAGGGAUAGCCCAGAGAAAUUUGGAUUAAUACCUCAUAGUAUAGUACUUUGGCAUCAAGGAACUAUUAAAGUCACAACGGCAAAAGAUGAGCAUGCGUCCCAUUAGCUAGUUGGUAAGGUAACGGCUUACCAAGGCUACGAUGGGUAGGGGUCCUGAGAGGGAGAUCCCCCACACUGGUACUGAGACACGGACCAGACUCCUACGGGAGGCAGCAGUGAGGAAUAUUGGUCAAUGGACGCAAGUCUGAACCAGCCAUGCCGCGUGCAGGAUGACGGUCCUAUGGAUUGUAAACUGCUUUGUACGAGAAGAAACAACAUUACGUGUAAUGUCUUGACGGUAUCGUAAGAAUAAGGAUCGGCUAACUCCGUG
rnacentral:rRNA from 1 species